rnacentral:rRNA from 1 species
GGGUUGUGAGGUUAAGCGACUAAGCGUACACGGUGGAUGCCCUGGCAGUCAGAGGCGAUGAAGGACGUGCUAAUCUGCGAAAAGCGUCGGUAAGGUGAUAUGAACCGUUAUAACCGGCGAUGUCCGAAUGGGGAAACCCAGUGCAAUUCGUUGCACUAUCGUUAACUGAAUACAUAGGUUAACGAGGCGAACCGGGGGAACUGAAACAUCUAAGUACCCCGAGGAAAAGAAAUCAACCGAGAUUCCCCCAGUAGCGGCGAGCGAACGGGGAGCAGCCCAGAGUCUGAAUCAGCUUGUGUGUUAGUGGAACGGUCUGGAAAGUCCGACGGUACAGGGUGAUAGUCCCGUACACCAAAAUGCACAGGCUGUGAACUCGAAGAGUAGGGCGGGACACGUGGUAUCCUGUCUGAAUAUGGGGGGACCAUCCUCCAAGGCUAAAUACUCCUGACUGACCGAUAGUGAACCAGUACCGUGAGGGAAAGGCGAAAAGAACCCCGGCGAGGGGAGUGAAAAAGAACCUGAAACCGUGUACGUACAAGCAGUGGGAGCACCUUCGGGUGUGACUGCGUACCUUUUGUAUAAUGGGUCAGCGACUUAUAUUCUGUAGCAAGGUUAACCGUAUAGGGGAGCCGCAGGGAAACCGAGUCUUAACUGGGCGUUAAGUUGCAGGGUAUAGACCCGAAACCCGGUGAUCUAGCCAUGGGCAGGUUGAAGGUUGGGUAACACUAACUGGAGGACCGAACCGACUAAUGUUGAAAAAUUAGCGGAUGACUUGUGGCUGGGGGUGAAAGGCCAAUCAAACCGGGAGAUAGCUGGUUCUCCCCGAAAGCUAUUUAGGUAGCGCCUCGUGAACUCAUCUUCGGGGGUAGAGCACUGUUUCGGCUAGGGGGUCAUCCCGACUUACCAACCCGAUGCAAACUACGAAUACCGAAGAAUGUUAUCACGGGAGACACACGGCGGGUGCUAACGUCCGUCGUGAAGAGGGAAACAACCCAGACCGCCAGCUAAGGUCCCAAAGUCAUGGUUAAGUGGGAAACGAUGUGGGAAGGCACAGACAGCCAGGAUGUUGGCUUAGAAGCAGCCAUCAUUUAAAGAAAGCGUAAUAGCUCACUGGUCGAGUCGGCCUGCGCGGAAGAUGUAACGGGGCUAAACCAUGCACCGAAGCUGCGGCAGCGACACUAUGUGUUGUUGGGUAGGGGAGCGUUCUGUAAGCCUGCGAAGGUGUGCUGUGAGGCAUGCUGGAGGUAUCAGAAGUGCGAAUGCUGACAUAAGUAACGAUAAAGCGGGUGAAAAGCCCGCUCGCCGGAAGACCAAGGGUUCCUGUCCAACGUUAAUCGGGGCAGGGUGAGUCGACCCCUAAGGCGAGGCCGAAAGGCGUAGUCGAUGGGAAACAGGUUAAUAUUCCUGUACUUGGUGUUACUGCGAAGGGGGGACGGAGAAGGCUAUGUUAGCCGGGCGACGGUUGUCCCGGUUUAAGCAUGUAGGCUGAUUGUCCAGGCAAAUCCGGAUAAUCAAGGCUGAGGUGUGAUGACGAGGCACUACGGUGCUGAAGUAACAAAUGCCCUGCUUCCAGGAAAAGCCUCUAAGCAUCAGGUAACAUCAAAUCGUACCCCAAACCGACACAGGUGGUCAGGUAGAGAAUACCAAGGCGCUUGAGAGAACUCGGGUGAAGGAACUAGGCAAAAUGGUGCCGUAACUUCGGGAGAAGGCACGCUGGUGUGUAGGUGAAGUCCCUGCGGAUGGAGCUGAGACCAGUCGAAGAUACCAGCUGGCUGCAACUGUUUAUUAAAAACACAGCACUGUGCAAACACGAAAGUGGACGUAUACGGUGUGACGCCUGCCCGGUGCCGGAAGGUUAAUUGAUGGGGUUAUCCGUAAGGAGAAGCUCUUGAUCGAAGCCCCGGUAAACGGCGGCCGUAACUAUAACGGUCCUAAGGUAGCGAAAUUCCUUGUCGGGUAAGUUCCGACCUGCACGAAUGGCGUAAUGAUGGCCAGGCUGUCUCCACCCGAGACUCAGUGAAAUUGAACUCGCUGUGAAGAUGCAGUGUACCCGCGGCAAGACGGAAAGACCCCGUGAACCUUUACUAUAGCUUGACACUGAACAUUGAGCCUUGAUGUGUAGGAUAGGUGGGAGGCUUUGAAGCGUGGACGCCAGUCUGCGUGGAGCCAACCUUGAAAUACCACCCUUUAAUGUUUGAUGUUCUAACGUUGGCCCCUGACCGGGGUUGCGGACAGUGUCUGGUGGGUAGUUUGACUGGGGCGGUCUCCUCCCAAAGCGUAACGGAGGAGCACGAAGGUUAGCUAAUCUUGGUCGGACAUCAGGAGGUUAGUGCAAUGGCAUAAGCUAGCUUGACUGCGAGCGUGACGGCGCGAGCAGGUGCGAAAGCAGGUCAUAGUGAUCCGGUGGUUCUGAAUGGAAGGGCCAUCGCUCAACGGAUAAAAGGUACUCCGGGGAUAACAGGCUGAUACCGCCCAAGAGUUCAUAUCGACGGCGGUGUUUGGCACCUCGAUGUCGGCUCAUCACAUCCUGGGGCUGAAGUAGGUCCCAAGGGUAUGGCUGUUCGCCAUUUAAAGUGGUACGCGAGCUGGGUUUAGAACGUCGUGAGACAGUUCGGUCCCUAUCUGCCGUGGGCGCUGGAGAAUUGAGGGGGGCUGCUCCUAGUACGAGAGGACCGGAGUGGACGCAUCACUGGUGUUCGGGUUGUCAUGCCAAUGGCACUGCCCGGUAGCUAAAUGCGGAAGAGAUAAGUGCUGAAAGCAUCUAAGCACGAAACUUGCCCCGAGAUGAGUUCUCCCUGAGACUAUAAGUCUCCUGAAGGAACGUUAAAGACGAUGACGUUGAUAGGCCGGGUGUGUAAGCGCAGCGAUGCGUUGAGCUAACCGGUACUAAUGAACCGUGAGGCUUAACCUUACAACGCCGAAG